UAGGGGAGCGAAAGGGAUUAGAUACCCCUGUAGUCCUAGCUGUAAACGAUGGAUACUAGGUGUUGGGCGUAUCGACCCGUCCAGUACCGUAGCUAACGCGUUAAGUAUCCCGCCUGGGGAGUACGCACGCAAGUGUGAAACUCAAAGGAAUUGACGGGGGCCCGCACAAGCGGUGGAGGAUGUGGUUUAAUUCGAUGCAACGCGAAGAACCUUACCAAGGCUUGACAUCCUGCGAAUCCUUCAGAGAUGAGGGAGUGCCUUCGGGAGCGCAGAGACAGGUGGUGCAUGGCUGUCGUCAGCUCGUGUCGUGAGAUGUUGGGUUAAGUCCCGCAACGAGCGCAACCCUCGUUCUUAGUUGCCAUCAUUAAGUUGGGCACUCUAGGGAGACUGCCGUGGACAACACGGAGGAAGGUGGGGACGACGUCAGGUCAUCAUGCCCCUUACGUCUUGGGCUACACACGUCCUACAAUGCUACAGACAGAGGGCAGCGAGCGCGCGAGUGCAAGCAAAUCCCAUAAACUGUGGCACAGUUCAGAUUGCAGGCUGCAACUCGCCUGCAUGAAGGCGGAAUCGCUAGUAAUCGCCGGUCAGCAUACGGCGGUGAAUACGUUCCCGGGCCUUGUACACACCGCCCGUCACACCAUGGGAGUUGGCCACGCCCGAAGUCGUUACUCUAACCUUAGGGAGGAGGGCGCCGAAGGCAGGGCUGAUGACUGGGGUG
rnacentral:rRNA from 1 species